AUGACUGGGUUGAUAGGCCGGAGGUAGAAGGCAGAGAUGCACGGAGCCGACCGGUACUAAUAGGCCGAGGGCUUGUCUCACAA
rnacentral:rRNA from 1 species